GCCCGCCUAGCUCAAUCGGAUAGAGCGUCAGACUCUUAUCACAGAGGCGGGAUCUGAAGGCUGCGAGUUCGACCCUCGCGGUGGGCU